rnacentral:pre_miRNA from 1 species
GGUACCUGAAAUAGGUUGCCUGUGAGGUGUUCACUUUUUAUACGAUGAAUAUUAUACAGUCAACCUCUUUCCGGCAUC